rnacentral:rRNA from 1 species
UACGAAGGGGGCUAGCGUUGUUCGGAAUUACUGGGCGUAAAGCGUGCGCAGGCGGCUUCUCAAGUCAGUGGUGAAAGCCCGGAGCUCAACUCCGGAAUUGCCAUUGAAACUGUGGAGCUUGAGGACGAGAGAGGUGAGUGGAAUUCCCAGUGAUAGAGGUGAAAUUCGUAGAUAUUGGGAAGAACACCGGUGGCGAAGGCGGCUCACUGGCUCGUU